CCUACGGGCGGCUGCAGUGGGGAAUAUUGCACAAUGGGCGCAAGCCUGAUGCAGCCAUGCCGCGUGUGUGAAGAAGGCCUUCGGGUUGUAAAGCACUUUCAGCGGGGAGGAAGGCGGUGAGGUUAAUAACCUCAUCGAUUGACGUUACCCGCAGAAGAAGCACCGGCUAACUCCGUGCCAGCAGCCGCGGUAAUACGGAGGGUGCGAGCGUUAAUCGGAAUUACUGGGCGUAAAGCGCACGCAGGCGGUCUGUCAAGUCGGAUGUGAAAUCCCCGGGCUCAACCUGGGAACUGCAUUCGAAACUGGCAGGCUAGAGUCUUGUAGAGGGGGGUAGAAUUCCAGGUGUAGCGGUGAAAUGCGUAGAGAUCUGGAGGAAUACCGGUGGCGAAGGCGGCCCCCUGGACAAAGACUGACGCUCAGGUGCGAAAGCGUGGGGAGCAAACAGGAUUAGAUACCCGUGUAGUC
rnacentral:rRNA from 1 species